CCUACGGGUGGCAGCAGUGAGGAAUAUUGGUCAAUGGGCGCGAGCCUGAACCAGCCAAGCCGCGUGAGGGAAGAAGGUCCAACGUAUUGUAAACCUCUUUUGUCGGGGAGCAAAAGCCGCGACUCGUGCCCUGCUGAGGGUACCCGACGAAAAAGCAUCGGCUAACUCCGUGCCAGCAGCCGCGGUAAUACGGAGAAUUCGAGCUUUCUCCGGCUUUGUUGGGUUUAAAGGGGGCGAUGGCGGACGGUUAAGUCAGUGGUAAAAGUUGGGGGCGCAACCUCAUCGUGCAGUUGAAACGGGUGGUCUGGAGUGAGAGAGAGGUAUGCGGAAUGCGUGGUGUAGCGGUGAAAGGCCUAGAUAUCACGAAGAACUCCGAUUGCGAAGGCAGCAUACCGGAGCGAAACUGACGCUGAGGCACGAAAGUGUGGGUAUCGAACAGGAUUAGAUACCCCAGUAGUC
rnacentral:rRNA from 1 species